rnacentral:rRNA from 1 species
GACGAACGCUGGCGGCGUGCUUAACACAUGCAAGUCGAACGGAAAGGCCCUGCUUUUGUGGGGUGCUCGAGUGGCGAACGGGUGAGUAACACGUGAGUAACCUGCCCUUGACUUUGGGAUAACUUCAGGAAACUGGGGCUAAUACCGGAUAGGAGCUCCUGCUGCAUGGUGGGGGUUGGAAAGUUUCGGCGGUUGGGGAUGGACUCGCGGCUUAUCAGCUUGUUGGUGGGGUAGUGGCUUACCAAGGCUUUGACGGGUAGCCGGCCUGAGAGGGUGACCGGCCACAUUGGGACUGAGAUACGGCCCAGACUCCUACGGGAGGCAGCAGUGGGGAAUACUGCACAAUGGGCGGAAGCCUGAUGCAGCAACGCCGCGUGCGGGAUGACGGGCUUCGGGUUGUAAACCGCUUUCGCCUGUGACGAAGCGUGAGUGACGGUAAUGGGUAAAGAAGCACCGGCUAACUACGUG